GAAAUAACAUGUUUGACGCUGUCUGACACUGACUCUUCUGCUCAAGACGCAGCUUUAGAAAGUCCUAAAGGUUGACUACAUGUAGUCACUCCACACUACAGGUAGAUAACUUCUGUACUGUAACACCAAAUCCAGUUUUUGUUCCAGUACUUAAAGCUAUAAACUCUACAGUAAUACAAAUA